GAUUUUAUCGGUGAUGGAUGGGGAUGCGUCUGAUUAGCUUUGUUGGCGGGGUAACGGCCCACCAAGGCAACGAUCAGUAGGGGUUCUGAGAGGAAGGUCCCCCACAUUGGAACUGAGACACGGUCCAAACUCCUACGGGAGGCAGCAGUGAGGAAUAUUGGUCAAUGGGCGAGAGCCUGAACCAGCCAAGUAGCGUGCAGGAUGACGGCCCUAUGGGUUGUAAACUGCUUUUAUAAGGGAAUAAAGUGAGUCUCGUGAGACUUUUUGUAUGUACCUUAUGAAUAAGGACCGGCUAAUUCCGUG
rnacentral:rRNA from 1 species